GUGAUUUAAACAUUCAC
rnacentral:rRNA from 1 species